UGGCGACGGGUGAGUAACGCGUGGGUAACCUGCCCCAUACCGGGGGAUAACAUUCAGAAAUGAGUGCUAAUACCGCAUAAGACCACAGUGCCGCAUGGCACAGGGGUCAAAACUCCGGUGGUAUGGGAUGGACCCGCGUCUGAUUAGGUAGUUGGCGGGGUAACGGCCCACCAAGCCGACGAUCAGUAGCCGACCUGAGAGGGUGACCGGCCACACUGGGACUGAGACACGGCCCAGACUCCUACGGAAGGCAGCAG
rnacentral:rRNA from 1 species